rnacentral:rRNA from 1 species
AGACCGGGAGAGGUUAGAGGUACUACCCAGGGUAGAGGUGAAAUUACUGUAAUCCUGGGAGGACCGCCUGUUGCGAAGGCGUCUAACUGGAACGGUUCUGACGGUGAGGGACGAAAGUUAGGGGCGCGAACCGGAUUAGAUACCCGAGUAGUCCUAACUGUAAACGAUGCGGACUUGGUGUUGGGUGGCUUUGAGCUGCUUCAGUGCCGAAGGGAAGCUGUUAAGUCCGCCGCCUGGGAAGUACGGUCGCAAGACUGAAACUUAAGGAAUUGGCGGGGGAGCACCACAACGCGUGGAGCCUGACCGGUUUAAUUGGAUUCAACGCCGGACAUCUCACCAGAGGCGACAGCUGUAUGAUAGCCAGGUUGAUGACUUUGCUUGACUAGCUGAGAAGUGGUGCAUGG